GCCGGGUGGUGGAGAGAGUGAGUGGACCGUUCCCGCUGGGAGGCUGGACUUGGGGGCCCUGUGAAUCCACCUGGAGGCUCCGGUUUUCCCACCUGAAACGUGGGAAUGAAAUAUUAAAGAGCACCACAGUAUGUGUGGGGUCCGAUGUAGACCCUUUAACGCAGAGUCCUCAAAACAACCCGAGGAAAAAUAGCAGCUUCACAGUGCUGGAUCCUGGCAGACAGCUCCUUAACCAACGGACGGAGGUUAAAGUCACCAUGAGUCACCGUGACAUCAUAAGCUCCUGGUAUGAGAAGGGAACAUCACCUCUCUGCCCAGUGGUUCUCGAACAGGAAAGAUCUGCUUCACACACACCCCGGAGGGGCAUUUGGCAAUGUCUGGAGACAUUUCUGCUUGGCAAGACUAAGGGGUUGCUCUAGGCAUCUAAUAGGUAGAGGCUGGAGAUGCUGCUUAAAGUCCUAGGAGGCCAAGGAGAGACUCCUCCACCCAGGAAGAAUGAUCCAGCCUUGACGUGGACAGCGCUGAGGGUGAGGAACCCUGACAGCCUGGUAGCAUUAGGGACAGGGGUCUGGCUUCAAAUUUUCUCUCACUGACUCUGUGUGACACUCGGAAAGGGAUUCCACACCCCGUGCCUCAGUUUCCCCAUCUGUAAAGUGCACGUGAUAACAGCAUCCAUUUCUGAGGGUGUUGUGAAGCAUGAGUUGUUACAGGUAUAGUACUUGUAACAGGACCUGACAUAAGAGGCUGCUGCCAUUAGCGUAUCACAGCUGAGCCCCUAGCAUGUGGACACCAAAUUAAUUGCAUGUCCUUAACGUAUCCUCAGUAUAUGGCAGUUUGCUGACAUGUCAUCCAAGUGUCCCUAACAUCGCCUUGACAUAGUGUCAUGGUGUGGUCAUGUCAUCCACCUCUGUGUGGUCCAGGGGUGAGAUCUGGCCAGAUGGGGCUGUUUGCAGGUGUCCCCUCUAAAGCUCCCCCUGGCUGGGACAGGAGAAAUACAGGGGUGUCCAUGGCCUGAAACCUGCUAACACAGUGACUCCAUGGCAACCCCACAGGUAGUUGGAGAGGAUAAUAUCCAGGAUCUCUAUUCCCCCAGAUCCUUCUGAGGGGCUGGAAAGGACAGAGGUGGGGUGCCAGAUGCUCAUUGGAAAUAUUGCUGUUAUCCUGAGGCCUUCCCUGGGCCAGGCACUACAUGCUGGACAUGCAGUAUCCAUUAGUCCAUUUUACAGAUGUGGCAACAGAGGCCCACUAUAGACUGUUGGUGUCUGGAGUUAAACCCAGGAUGGUGCUCACUAAGCUACCAUGGACUGCGGAAAGAGGAAGAGAGAUGACCUCAAUGAGAGGAGAGAUGGGCUCAGUGAUGGACACAGAGGAAACCAGGAGGCCCAGCCAGAGGGCAAUGAACA